rfam:Pyricularia oryzae strain LpKY97 chromosome 7
GACCUCGGCUGACCUGACACAACAUCCUGCCGAGAUGUUGUGCACCGACCUGCAGUGUCAGUCAGCCAAGGUC